UACGGAGAGCCUCGAGCGUUAUCCGGAAUUAUUGGGCGUAAAGGGUGCGUAGGUUGUUCUGUUAGUCUUUUGUAAAAUCCCAGAGCUUAACUUUGGAUCUGCGAAAGAAACGGCAGAACUUGAAAGUGUGAGAGGCGUACGGAACUCAUGGUGUAGGGUGAAAUCCGUUGAUAUCAUGGGAACACCAAUGCGAAGGCAGUACGCUGGCGCAUAUUGACGACUGAAGCACUGGAAACGCGUGGGA
rnacentral:rRNA from 1 species